rnacentral:rRNA from 1 species
UACAGAGGUCUCAAGCGUUGUUCGGAUUCAUUGGGCGUAAAGGGUGCGUAGGUGGCGCGCUAAGUCAGGUGUGAAAUUCGGAGCUUACUCCGAAACUGCAUUUGAUACUGGCGUGCGUUGAGGACUGGAGAGGAGACUGGAAUUCAUGGUGUAGCAGUGAAAUGCGUAGAGAUCAUGAGGAAGACCAGUGGCGAAGGCGGGUCUCUGGACAGUUCCUGACACUGAGGCACGAAGGCCAGGGGAGCAAACGG